UUAGGGCAGACUGAGAUAGCGGGAUUGGAAAAUCCGCCCGCGUACGUCAAGGUCUGAACUCGAGCGGUUCGUCCGCGAAGUCGUUGGAAGGAUGUCCGAGAAAAUCUUCUAAGCGUUAAAGCACGGCGACCGUACUAAAACUGACACAGGUAGGCGAGACGAGAAGUCUCAGGCGCUCGAGGGAACGGUGGUUAAGGAACUCUGCAAAUUGACCCCGUAAGUUCGCGAUAAGGGGUGCCCUUGGAGGUGAAUAGCCUUCGGGGGCCACAGUAAAUCGGCUCUAGCGACUGUUUAUCAAAAACACAGGUCUCUGCUAACUCGCAAGAGGAUGUAUAGAGACUGACGCCUGCCCGGUGCCGGUAGGUUAAGGAAGGGGGUUAGCGAAAGCGAAGCCCGCGACCGAAGCCCCGGUAAACGGCGGCCGUAACUAUGACGGUCCUAAGGUAGCGAAGUUCCUUGUCGGGUAAGUUCCGACCUGCAUGAAUGGCGUAACGACUGGAGCACUGUCUCAACCAUCGACUCGGUGAAAUUGUAGUUCGGGUGAAGAUGCCCGGUACCCGCGGCUAGACGGAAAGACCCCGUGAACCUUUACUGUAGGCUGAUAUUGGGCUGAGGUAUGUUUUGUGUAGGAUAGGUGGGAGGCUGUGAAACGGGAGCGCCAGCUCUCGUGGAGCCAACGUUGAAAUACCACCCUGAACAUGCUUUAGUUCUAACCUUGUUCCGUGAAUCCGGACAAGGGACAGUUUCAGUUGGGCAGUUUGACUGGGGCGGUCUCCUCCAAAAAAGUAACGGAGGAGUGCAAAGGUACACUCAGCCUGGUUGGCAAUCAGGCAAAGAGCGUAAAGGUAGAAGUGUGCUUAACUGCGAGACUUAUCAGUCGAGCAGGUGCGAAAGCAGGCCUUAGUGAUCCUGUGGUUCCGAGUGGAAGGGCCAUAGCUCAUCAGAUAAAAGGUACUCCGGGGAUAACAGGCUUAUCGCGUCCGAGCGUCCACAGCGGCGACGCGGUUUGGCACCUCGAUGUCGGCUCAUCACAUCCUGGGGGUGAAGAAGCUCCCAAGGGUUUGGCUGUUCGCCAAUGAAAGUGGUACGUGAGCUGGGUUCAGGCCGUCGUGAGACAGGUCGGUCCCUAUCUACCGUGGGCGUACGAAACUUGAGGGGAUUCUUCUUUAGUACGAGAGGAUUUAGAAGGACGUAGCUCUGGUGUCCCAGCUGUCACGCUAGUGGCAUGGCUGGAUAGCUAACUAUGGAACGGAUAAACGCUGAAAGCAUCUAAGCGUGAAGCCUUCCCCAAGAUGAGGUUUCGUUAGUGCGAUAGCACGAAAGUCCCCUGGAAGACUACCAGGAUGAUAGGCCGGAUGUGUAAGCGCGGUAACGCGUUCAGCUAACCGGUACUAAUGGACGAAAGCUUGACCAC
rnacentral:rRNA from 1 species